UACAGCAGCGUCAUAUAAAGAACAGCGUAAAGCUAGUAUCAGUCAAUUCAACGGGAGUAAAACGGCAAUACUUUCUUACGAUGUGUAGAAGAACAGAAAAAGUAAUAUUAUUAUUUGUAUUAAUCACAGUACUGACUGGUGUAUCAAGAUCAUAUCCAGCGAUGGACAACAGUGCGUAUGACGUCAUAUCGGGAGAUGCAGAGUUAUAUGGACUUGAUAAAAGAUAUAAAUGGAAAUGCAACGGUUGGUUUAAAUGGAGAUGUGGAAAUUCCAAAAUGGUUCACAGAGAAAUUCGAAACAUAGACUCAGAUUAAUGUUUUUGUUAUUAUAACUAUAUGAAGCCAUCGCUCUCUACAAUUUACAUGCUCUAACGUCAUUUGAUAUCAUACUAAAUCCUGCUACAUUUGUACUUAAAGAACUAUGUAAUAUAUCAUUGUUAUAUCUCUGUAUUGUCUCUGACUUUCUACCUGAAUAAAACAUAUCUUAUA